rnacentral:lncRNA from 1 species
GCAGCCCCUGCCUGUGUUUGCGAAGAAUCAAGGUGCUUUUGUGCUUCUGUUCCUUUCUCUUCAGCUUUACAACGGCCAUUCUACAUGGAAAAGCCCCCAAACGGUGCCUCUAUAAACAGUAAACCCUUGCCAGGCUGGAAUGUGGUAGCCAGUGGCAUGGGCAAUAGGAGGAGCAGGCAAGGGCAGAGGACAGCCCCUCUCCACGGAGAGGUACCUGUCACGAGUACUAAUGCACUGAGAAGUCUUGUGUUCACUUCCGAGGUUACAUGCUUUCUAACGGUUGGAGGGAAUCGUGGGCCAGCCAACUUGCAAGGACUUGAGAGCAUUUAUAUGAAACAUUCCUGCCCCCUCUCUCCCUCUGCUCCAGUCCUGCCCUGUCAGAACAAAAGCACUCAUUUUGAGAAGAAAGACUAGAAAAUACGGAGUCCUGGGAAUUGCAUGAAUCAAAUAUUUUAAAGAAAAACGACAGAUUAAGACUGAUGGCUGGAAGGCGAAGGAGGAGGGAAGUCCACCUGGACUGUCACUAUGCACCCUUAUUUGAAAAAGCAUCUUUGCAGAGGUAAUUAGGAUCUUGAGAUG